rnacentral:rRNA from 1 species
UACGGAGGGGGCUAGCGUUGUUCGGAGUUACUGGGCGUAAAGGGCGCGUAGGCGGCUGUGCAAGUCAGGUGUGAAAGGCCCGGGCUCAACCCGGGGACGGCGCUUGAGACUGCACGGCUUGGAGUCCGGGAGAGGAUGGUGGAAUUCCCAGUGUAGAGGUGAAAUUCGUAGAUAUUGGGAAGAACACCGGUGGCGAAGGCGGCCAUCUGGACCGGUACUGACGCUGAGGCGCGAAAGCGUGGGGAGCAAACAGG